AAGAAGCAUAAUUUUUUUUUGUUUCGUUGCCUUGUGUGCCAAAGACCACAGAAGAAAACAUAAAAAAAAACUAGCUUCGACAUCUACAAAUAGAUGCUAUUAUCUUCUGUCUGUCAAGUGACCAACACUACAUUGACUUGUUGUUUGUGCAUUAAAAAAAAAAAAAGAAGAAAUAAAAAAACACACAAACGUGUCGAGUUGGCAAAAAGUAAUUAAAAAAACCUCCGUUUUACAAUUUGCCACUCAAUGCUAAAUAAACUCAGCAAUACACAAACGAAAAUAGGUAUGUAUACAGAAAGUAAGGAGAGACGGGAACGAAAAAGAAUGACGGAGAAUACGGCAAAGGCGGGAUAUGAAAAGCACGAGGUAAAGAAAUGUGCAAGCAACUUUUACUCAGUGUUGCCAACGGUACAAAAACCCUCAAAUACACACUAUCGGAUGUCUACUGACGUCACCUUUUGGUUUAAUCAAAUCACUAUAGGUCUCCCAAACAGAAUUGGACUUCUUAAAACCCUACACAUGGAUUGUUGAACCACACAACAACGGAUUGCUGCUACAGGCAGGGGGUGUUGGUGGUGAUAAGUGGUUUGCUUAUCACCCUGGCCUUUGAAAGACGGUCCAACAAACGCACAAACUCACACGUUUGGCAAACAUACGAACCAACAACCAAAAGAGAAAAUGCGAUAGGGUACAUUCAACCAAAUUUAGUGUAGAGAAAAACAUGAUAAUCGCGAAUAAGAGAGGCAAGAAAUGAAAGAAAUAUUUCAAAAUGGAUGACAAAAUCAGAUGUAGAUAAGUAUGUAUGUAUGUAUAUGUAGUAAAAGCCAAUUUUUUUCUACAUACAUAUGGUUUAAGAAAAAAUUAAAUAAAGAAAUAUACAUUUUCUACUUA